UGGGCCUUCUCUCCAUAUUUUCUGAUAACCCCCUGCAGAAAUAGACAAACUCCAAAGCUCGUGGAAUUCUGUCAGAUAAAACCCUAAUUCUAGGUGUUUGGUGCAUAUUGAUCCUUUUCCAUGUUUAGUUGAUGAUUAAAUUUAGUACUUAAGGACCGUCAACAAACUCCCCCAAGCUUACCCUUUGCUCGUCCCUGAGCAAACAGCUAAACUCAUAUGGAUCAGGAGUUGCUUCAAUGUUUUCUUUCCUGACAGGCACACAUGCUUUCACAUAAAAAUUCUUCCAGAUUAGAGUGAAGUGUCAUGAAGCUUAGUACCUGCACUUAAGUCUUAAGUAAUCGAAAGACAAAAUAAUUAAGUCAAGCACUAUUCCUCCUGUCUAUACUUCACCUUUGUUCUAGAAUUUUGUAUAAGUUUUAAAAAUAAAACUCAGAGUUCUCAGCAAUGAUUCUCUCAAGUCUCUCUAUAUGUGGUAUUUGUGGAUCCUUACCGAAAUGUCAUUUUCCUAUAGCUAAUGGAAUAUUUAAGUGGAGCUCAUAGGAGUGAAAAACAGCUCAUACAUAUGUUGUCUAAUCGAGCCAUGGAUCCAAAGGAACUCAUCAUAUAAUUAAAUGUGCAUGUGUGGUGGAGUAAAUGAUAGUGAUGGUAAAAAUGUAUAAGUGAUAAUAAAACUUACUUCUCAUUGCUCCUCAUAUUGCUAUCGCUCCUCUUCUUUGAUCUUUGCUUUGGGAGAACAUGGGCUAUCUUUUUCUUUUCUCUUUUUUUUCAGGUGGGUAGUAAAUACCCCUAAUUCUACUGUCGGACACUUGUCCAUUUUUUCUGCUCAAGUGGGCAUCUUUGUACCCCUAAUUCUACUCCGAACACUUGUCCAUUUUUACCUCUCGUCUCACUCUUUUUCUUUCUUUUUCGAGGUUCCGGGCACUUGCCCCUUUUUAUUUCCUCGUAUAUUUUUGCAUAACCCAUGCCUCUUCUGCAUUGAAUCUUUUUGGAGAGAGAAUAACAAUACUUUGGACAGUGAGUGAUAAUAAUAUCUUUAGCAAUUUUAAUGAAUGGUGGUGAAUGGUGUAAUGGAUGUGUGCAAGUGAAUAUCUUAAUUUAACCAUAUGAAAAGCUCCUAAGGAUCUACACAGCUCGAUUAAACUCAAUGUGAAUAUAGUAAAAGAUGUUAUAGCAAGUAUGGCUAUGGUAGGAAGUUUGCAAUGCUUGGCACUCAUCAUGUGAUUUGCGAGUUUUCAAGAUAAAUCUCCAGAACUUAGUGUAGUAGGAACAAGAUAAACAGUAGCUCAAACUUUAUAUCAUGCCUUUCUCUUACCUAGACAUUAGUUUUAUGCUUCCUAUUGUCGAGGGUAUCAACAAGGGGUACCCUCACCAAUGCGUAUAACGAGACCAUCCGUACACAAAGCUAGUCCCUCGAUUCGACGCUCCGUCCACACGUACACGCAGCCAUCAACGGCCGUAGCCUCGAAGACGGAAAUAGCGUCGAGCGAAUCAAUCAGGCGUCGAGCUCUGGUUACCAUCGAAUACGGAACAGGCUCACGCGAAUCAGGAGGCGUCGAGCGCAAGGACGCCGCCACCGCCUGACGCGCGCACGCGAGCCGGGGCAUUAAAUGCGCCUGGUGCUUCCCCACCUAACACAUGGGUCACGGGAGGCGUGAUAGGGAACAGGCACCCGUCCCAUCGAUCUUUUUGCAGCUUU
rnacentral:lncRNA from 1 species